rnacentral:pre_miRNA from 1 species
UAUGUACUCCCUCUGUUCCGAAUUACUUGUCUCGGAAAUGGAUGUAUCUAGAACUAAAAUACAUCUAGAUACAUCCAUUUUUGCGACAAGUAAUUCUGAACGGAGGGAGUACAUC